ACACUUUUAGUGUAUUUUUUUUUCCCUUUUCAUGAGACAGAAUUAAUUCCUGUAGUCUCAGCCCUUCAGAAUCAUGGCAAUCUCAUUUGGGAAUGCCACAGUAAUGGCGAACAGCAGGAGUGCAUGGACACAGUGCCACCCUCCCAGGGACUGCUCCAACUUGUGGAGACUCUGUCAGGACAAGGGGGUUGAUCCAGGGGGAAGGUGGGAUCACCUGUCCCAAACAGCAUCCAAGCAAAAUGAAAAACAGGAAUUCAGAUGUGUUCCAGUAGAAAAAACUGGGAAAGAAGCUGUUUUCUAAGCAAGGCAAACAAAGCUUUGCUCUGUUCCUCAUCACUUAUGAGAGACAUUUAGUUGUUGCAGAUACUCAUAACUGUGAGCAAUUCCCAUUACUGUCAUUUUCUGGAGCCUGCACUGAUUUCCUCUCCUCUUAACAGAGAAAUAUCAGAAGUUCUUUUUGGCUUUAUGUUGAUCUCAUUGACAACAAGGUUCAGUUAAUUUGCUGCAGCAUCUGCAAGGCUAAAUGGAAAAGGAGAGAGAGAGCUUCAGCCUGCAAGGGCUGUGUUCUCUCCCAGCUUGUUGUGACUGACUGAUCUUUUUGGAAGCUUCUGGGUUCCUGGCACUGAGCUUCAAAGAUGUGCUGCUGCUGGGGAUUACAGCAUGGAUGGCACUGGGAUCUGCUAAUCCUUCAUCCCCACUGCAACCUCUGCUGUUCCUAUUCAAACAGCAUUUUGGAAAGGCCAUUGGUAAUUCCCUUGGAGGGGCUCCUGCAGCCUCAGACAUCUGACUGCCACUUGCCCUGCUCACCCAGACAACUGGCAAUCCAUUUGUUUUCAGUCUCCCUGGAACAAGCCUGGCCUUUUAUUUCCUAG
rnacentral:lncRNA from 1 species